rnacentral:rRNA from 1 species
UGGGGAAUUUUGCACAAUGGGGGAAACCCUGAUGCAGCGACGCCGCGUGAUUUAGAAGGCCUUCGGGUUGUAAAAAUCUUUUCUAUGGGAAGAAAAUGACAGUACCAUAGGAAUAAGGACCGGCUAAUUACGUGCCAGCAGCCGCGGUAAUACGUAAGGUCCGAGCGUUGUCCGGAAUCAUUGGGCGUAAAGGGUACGUAGGCGGGUAGCAAGUUAGAAGUGAAAUCCUAUAGCUCAACUAUAGUAAGCUUUUAAAACUGCUCAUCUUGAGGUAUGGAAGGGAAAGUGGAAUUCCUAGUGUAGCGGUGAAAUGCGCAGAUAUUAGGAGGAAUACCGGUGGCGAAGGCGACUUUCUGGCCAUAACCUGACGCUGAGGUACGAAAGCGUGGGUAGCAAACAGG